GUGAUUUUAGUUUAAUAAAAAUGAUGAUUUGUCUAGUCGUAGAUGGUAAAUAAGUAACCAAGUCACU
rnacentral:tRNA from 1 species